AUUGAACGCUGGCGGCAGGCCUAACACAUGCAAGUCGAACGAGUGGCGGACGGGUGAGUAAUGUCUGGGAAACUGCCUGAUGGAGGGGGAUAACUACUGGAAACGGUAGCUAAUACCGCAUACCAUCAGAUGUUCCCAGAUGGGAUUGGCUUGUUGGUGGGGUAACGGCUCACCAAGGCGACGAUCCCUAGCUGUUCUGAGAGGCUGACGAGCCACACUGGAACUGAGACACGGUCCAGACUCCUACGGGAGGCAGCAGGGGGGAAUAUUGCACAAUGGGCACAAGCCUGAAGCAGCCAUGCCGGGUGUAUGAAGAAGGCCUUCGGGUUGUAAAGUACUUUCAGCGGGGAGGCGUUACCCGCAGAAGAAGCACCGGCUAACUCCGUGCCAGCAGCCGCUGUAUAC
rnacentral:rRNA from 1 species